GAAGAGUCUGCACAAAGAACUAAUACAGAGUUGGACAGUGUUGUACUUUUACUUUUUACUUUUGUUUCAUGAGGCAUGUUUUGACCUUUUUUUUUUCUUUUACAAAAUGACAGGGUGACAUCCGUUCCCUCUAUAAACAGCAUCUUCAACAAAAAAUUUAGUAUUUUGAGCUGAAAAAAAAAACGCAAAUUAAGAGGAGAAAUUGAACUUGACAACUUGAAAAAGAGAAAAAUUGCUCUAGAGAUAGAGUUGCUUCAAAAGGACCUUCAGAGCAAAAGAUGACUUGCUGGCUUUUCUUUAUAAAGAACUGUUUAAAUAAAACUCUGGGAACUAA